rnacentral:piRNA from 1 species
UGUAUGAUAAAAGAUUCCAUUGAUGUCCCU